rnacentral:lncRNA from 1 species
UUUAGCUAGCAUACCUGACAUAUUCCCAAGUCUAGAUCCGUGUUGAAACAGUUAGAAAAAUCGUUAGAAUGUGGCCUAAGCCUCAAGCACGACGAAUACCUUCGACAAUUAAGUUGUACGGAAAGAAAUGUUAUUGAGGGAAAGCCAGGAUAGCACAUCUUUAGUGGGAGUAGGAGAGAAGAGAAAAAAGAAUUCCUUUUUCUUUCCUUUAUAGGAAAGGGUGAUAGACCUAAGCUCGUUAGACAAACCAUAUUGGUAUUUGGGCUCAAAUAGUAUGAUGUAGUGCUGGCUACAUCAUGCUAGGCUUAUAUAUUCACUUCCUUUGCAUCUUCUUUCCGGUUGUCUUUAGUAAAUUUACUAUGGAGGGCUACAUAAAGCGUUAAGUGUCAUAGAUGUUGGUAUAUUACCUUAGUACUUGGUGACUUGCGGUCUAAGUGGCUUCUUGUCCAUGGUGGCUCUUGAUUUUGGUGGCCGUUAUCCGAAAAAAUUUAGGUCCUAAUGACCUUGAUCCGGUAUAUAUGUCAGUGCCCCAAAUUAAUGUAGAUGUCUUGUUUCUAUGGUCUAGAUUGUCUUGGUUCGAAUAUGUGUAAUAUUAUAAUGCAUGUUUGAAAGUAAAACUAGAACUCAUCAUCGUCAUCAUACUCAGUAAAUCCCACCAAUAGCAAAGCUAACGUAGUGUCUGUGUCUGAGGAGGGUAAGAUGUAGACAACCUUACCUCUACCCCAUAGGAAUAGAGGCUGCUUCCAGUGAGACCCCGAGCUUGAUAGUAGUUUUGCAUCAAGUCUUGGACAUAAGGCACAUAACACUCAACAAUUAAGACAAAGGCCGAUUAGUGCAUGUACUCCCUUGUCUUUCAGCUAUCAACGCCACCACAUGAUGCAUGAUUAACCAUCCCACUCUUUUAAUGUUAUUUUCACGAAAUUAUUAAAAUAACGUUAAAAUUAGCGCACUUUCACUUUUGCCCCCCGAGCGCCCACAAAUAUAUACAUUAUAUGCACAUACCGCAAGCGGGGCGUAGAAAGUAAAACUAGAACUAAUAUACAAUAAGGGGCGGAUUAUAGAUGUAUGGCAACCGUAUCACAAUAUUAAGACGUUAGCUCCUUAGAAUAGUUGAUGGUUUUGAAGGGAAAGUUACUCUACUAAAUAUGGCCAUCAUGGUAUCGUUAAAGAAAACAAGCAAUCGACGA